rnacentral:lncRNA from 1 species
AGUGGGGGGAAAAUCCAUGAAGUGGGCGUAGUAAUGAUAGGCUUGAAUGUUGUGAUUGAUGAAAACACAACCCAUGUACUAUGUGUUUAGUAUUCCCUGAAUUAAAACUCGAUGGUGUUUGAUGGUAGUGAUUAGGUGAAGUAAUAUUCUUAUAUGAAGUUCUAUAGCUUAAAUUAGCACCUCUUUUCUCCGAGUUAGGCCUCAACAUAUGAGUAUUGUACGGAAGGACUCAAACUUUUGUGGUUAGAUAUGCGAUGGGAGAAUAGUAAGUUGGA